GAGUUUGAUCAUGGCUCAGAUUGAACGCUGGCGGCAGGCUUAACACAUGCAAGUCGAGCGGGGACUUCGGUCCUAGCGGCGAACGGGUGAGGAAUGCUUGGGAAUCUGCCUAGUAGUGGGGGAUAACGUUUCGAAAGGAACGCUAAUACCGCAUACGCCCUACGGGGGAAAGGGGGGGAUCUUCGGACCUCUCGCUAUUAGAUGAGCCCAAGUCGGAUUAGCUAGUUGGUGAGGUAAAGGCUCACCAAGGCGACGAUCCGUAGCUGGUCUGAGAGGAUGAUCAGCCACACUGGAACUGAGACACGGUCCAGACUCCUACGGGAGGCAGCAGUGGGGAAUAUUGGACAAUGGGCGAAAGCCUGAUCCAGCCAUGCCGCGUGUGUGAAGAAGGCCUUCGGGUUGUAAAGCACUUUAAGCGAGGAGGAAUGGCUCUGGGUUAAUACCCUUGAGCAGUGACGUUACUCGCAGAAUAAGCACCGGCUAACUCUGUGCCAGCAGCCGCGGUAAUACAGAGGGUGCAAGCGUUAAUCGGAAUUACUGGGCGUAAAGCGCGCGUAGGCGGUUACGUAAGUUGGAUGUGAAAUCCCCGGGCUCAACCUGGGAAUUGCAUUCAAAACUGCGUGGCUAGA
rnacentral:rRNA from 1 species